rnacentral:rRNA from 1 species
AACCUCCGCAAUGUACGAAAGUGCGACGGGGGGAUCCCAAGUGUUAUGCUUUUUUGUAUAACUUUUCAUUAGUGUAAAAAGCUUUUAGAAUAAGAGCUGGGCAAGACCGGUGCCAGCCGCCGCGGUAACACCGGCAGCUCGAGUGGUAGCUGUUUUUAUUGGGCCUAAAGCGUUCGUAGCCGGUUUGAUAAGUCUUUGGUGAAAGCUUGUAGCUUAACUAUAAGAAUUGCUGGAGAUACUAUCAGACUUGAAGUCGGGAGAGGUUAGAGGUACUACCGGGGUAGGGGUGAAAUCCUAUAAUCCUGGGAGGACCACCUGUGGCGAAGGCGUCUAACUGGAACGAUCUUGACGGUGAGUAACGAAAGCCAGGGGCGCGAACCGGAUUAGAUACCCGGGUAGUCCUGGCCGUAAACGAUGUGGACUUGGUGUUGGAAUGGCUUUGAGUGUUCCGGUGCCGAAGGGAGGCUGUUAAGUCCACCGCCUGGGAAGUACGGUCGCAAGACUGAAACUUAGAGGAAUU